rnacentral:tRNA from 1 species
GGAUGUAUAGUUUAGUGCUAGAGUGCUUGCCUUGCAUGCAAGAGGCCCUGGGUUCAAUUCCCAGUAUCA